rnacentral:lncRNA from 1 species
AAAUAGGUAUUGGUUGUCUAGUUAAUUUAUAAUUAUCGGUUAAUCGCAGCUUCGAAUCAUGUCUGCUGUUGGAGCUAUACGUCAACGUUGUAUUGUCAGAACGAAAAAUUGGUGUACUUAGAAGCAAAUCGAAAGCUGCAACGACUUAUUUACUAAGGAGUGACUUAUGUAAGAAGUUGUCAAACUUUAGUAACACGAUAAUUACACAAUAAUUAGCUCAUCAUAUUGAAUCGUACUGGUGCAUUUCACAUGGUCAAUGAUCUCUUUAUUAACUAUUUAUUUAACUAUUCACAUCGCUUGAUUUAAAUGUUCACCCCUGCAUCACCUCAGUGUAUGACAAUAUCAAUUGUACUUGUACCUAUAGGUUUUUUGAAUUUCAAAGAACCACUUCUUGUUAAACAAUGAACUAUUUAUGAAUAAAAUUAUUUGUAAAAUAUGUACAUAUUAACUACUUUUGGUUAUUUCGACUACCUAUCAACGAAUAUCGGAAUAUUUAAUUUUUUUUAAAUUUAAUAGUUACAAUUUAUUUAUUUAAAUAGUUUAAUUGAAUCGGUUAUUACAUUUAAAUUUUAAUUUUAAAACAUGUACACUGGUUUGAAAUACAUUUUUUUUACACAAAACUAUUAAAGCAGCAAAUAUUUCACAAAACAUGGUUACUUGAUUAACAGUAAUACAAUUUUAUAUGGGCAGUUGCCAAUUUCCAGAUCAAACUCAUUAUUUUAAUAAUCAAUGCUGGAUCCCUAUUUUAUUUAUAUUAUUUUCUAUGAUUAAUGUUAUAAUAAUUACACCAAUUAGAUUUCCAGAAUCUCAAGUUUUUAUUUUUUAAAACAUCGUUCCUCUGCUUUUUUUCGUUCUUUUUUUCGUCCUUUGAAUGUUUUCACCUUGCUUGCAUAUAUCACAAAAUAAUGCUAUCUACAAAAUCAAUUUUAAUAACUAUUUCUUAACUAAAAAUUGGGAAGGUUAAACUUGAUUGAACUAUAUAUAUAAUAGUAUUUUUUUAAUAUAUAUAGUUUUGUUUUUUAAAUUAAAUUUUAAAGUAAUUAAAAAGAUAUCAACUUCAUUACAUUUUCAUAUAUUUCACCAAGUGGAAAGAAAAAUGAUUUCCAAUUCAUAAACUGGAUAAGAGAAAAGUACCUAUAAUUAUACAGCUGACUAUAAUAGCAUUUGCUAAUUAAUUAUUAUUAUUAUUAUUGUAAAUCGUUGGUUGUACACUUUUUCUCCGAACUUUAAACAAAUAUUUUUAACCUUUCCAGAAUAAUAAACUAUAGAAUGGCAAUCUUCAAAUUUAUCAAAAAUAAUAAAAUAAAAACAAAAUUAAUAAAAUGAUUGAUACUCAUAAAUAAAUAUAUAAAUAAAAAAUGUAUACAUAAAAAUGAAAAAUUAAUUAAUUAAUACCUGAUGAUGAAUUUUUAAUUUUAAUAAUAAUACUCCAGGCAUAGUCAUUCAUUUAUUUUAUUUUUAUGUAUACAUUUUUUUUUUUCAUGUUUUCAUCACUUGAAUAAUAUAUUUUUAUAUAUCAUACUUUUUGUAUUAUCCAAAAAUGUUUAAUUUAACUCAAAUCACAAAAAUAUUAUGUUUUAAUGUUUAUUAUAGUUAUUUUAAACUGCUAAUUUCUUUUUUCUAGUUACUGAAAAACUUUACAAUGAUCAAAAUCAAAAAAUUAUUGUAAGUUACGGUUCUGGGUGUACUUAAAGACACAUAAAUCCUUUUAUGGUAAGUCGAUAAGCCUCAUAUCAUUGGUGUUGGUGAUAUUAAAACAAUAUUAUUUAUAUUUUUAUUUUGGUCGAGUUUUCCUUGAAAAUAGAGACACUGGUAUUGUAUCUGUUAUAUUACUUUCUGUUUCCAAAUUGCAUGUGGAAAUUAUAAUAUAGACAGAGUUUUGUUGGUGAUUCUUUAGAGACUGAGUCGAGUUGCUUGCGCGAUUUUUAUUUUUUUAAAUUUUAGAUUCUGCAAAACAUUUCUCUCCUAGAAAUACUCUUAAAUUUUGAUUUUACGAUUUCAAAUUUAAAUAAUUUUACUUAGACCAAAUGAUUGAAUUUUUAAUAAAUAAGAUUUACAAAUUUUUUUUAUUUUGUGCAUGCUCAUCUCUCAAUAUUAUUAUUCAAAAAUUUAUAUUCAUUAAUGAUGUUUUUUUUUUUUUUUUGUCGUAGGGUUUUCGAAAUCAAACUAUUGACUGAUCAUUAAAAGUUAUAAAUCAAUAACUAUAUACAAUUAAUUAUAUCUACAGAUUAUAACUAUUCACACGCAACUCGACUUUGUCACAAAAAAUACCACAUAUGCCUUUCAGUAGUCAACUAGCAUUGCUUAUUUUUUUUGGCACGCAAUUCAGAUGCAACCAUUAAUAUAUCUUUCUGAUACAUUUGGGUACUUUUAUCAGCUCCCUCUAAACCAAAAUGCUUAAACUAAAUCUUUUUCCUAAUUAAUUCAUUUUAAUCAGGUUUUAAUCAGGUAAAUAGGUACCUUAAUAGAUUUAUGAAUGUAAAAGACUAGGUUAAAAUGUGUUAAGUGGGUGAUUUUUUUUUUUUUUAUCAAACCAAAAAUUUUCUCAAAGGAUUUUAAGUCAAUUUGAUUUCUGUAUGUUUUUUUUAAAAUCAUGUUGGAAUCGGGUAAGCUUUAUUUUAAAACUAUGUUAAAUUUUUUAUCCAUGUAUAUUAAAUAAGUAUAUACUUAAAUAUACUAUAUAGGAAUUUGUGUUCAAAAAGGGAGGUUCCUAUUUGAAAAACAAAAGUAUACACUUAUUUAAGGUAUAUGAAGUAAGGGUAAAACUUAAACAAUUCCACAAUGAUAAAAAAAUAGAAAACAGACAUCUAAAAUCUUAGAUCACCUUUAAAUUUUCCGAAAAAAUGGUUUAGUUCAUAAUUAAAAACUAUCACUGUAUGUAUAAAUAUAAUUGUUGUUGAGAAUAUGCCUUUAGAAAAUUUUAACUCCUCCUAUUCCCCAGCUCCUGUUUGUAUUUUAUCAAAAAUUUCAAAAACUACUUUACCCCUAUUUUGAUACAAAACUAUUUUGUUCAAAUUCUUAUUAGUUAUUAUAUAAAAAAAAAAAACUCAGAAUAUUGUAACAAGUCAGAUAAGGAAAAGCUUGAAUACUGCUAAUGUGUUUUUUUUUUUUUUUUAGGUAAUGAAGAUUAUUUUUCUGAAACCAUUGCAAAUUCUUAUUUCAACAUCACAUGGCAUUGGCUGUGCAUAUAUAAUAUGGUCUACAAGCAUCAAACAGUUGAGAAUUCAGAUUCCAAAAUAGUGCAUUAAUCUGAAAAUACAAAUGCCAGAAAAUGUUAAUAAAUAAAAACAAAAAACUUUAACUAUUAGUAAUUGUGGAAAAGACUAAAAUAAAAACAGCAAGUGGUUGAUUAUACUUUUUAUUAAUUUUUUUCUAUUUUGAUAAACUUUUGUCAUCCUUUCUAUUUA